rnacentral:rRNA from 1 species
UACGAAGGUGGCAAGCGUUGUCCGGAAUUAUUGGGCGUAAAGGGUGCGUAGGUGGCGCCGUAAGUCGGGUGUGAAAUUUCGGAGCUUAACUCCGAAACUGCAUUCGAUACUGCGGUGCUUGAGGACUGGAGAGGAGACUGGAAUUCAUGGUGUAGCAGUGAAAUGCGUAGAGAUCAUGAGGAAGACCAGUGGCGAAGGCGGGUCUCUGGACAGUUCCUGACACUGAGGCACGAAGGCCAGGGGAGCAAACGGG